AGAGAGCUUGCUCUCUUGGCGGCGAGUGGCGGACGGGUGAGUAAUAUAUCGGAACGUGCCCAGUAGCGGGGGAUAACUACUCGAAAGAGUGGCUAAUACCGCAUACGCCCUACGGGGGAAAGGGGGGGAUCGCAAGACCUCUCACUAUUGGAGCGGCCGAUAUCGGAUUAGCUAGUUGGUGGGGUAAAGGCUCACCAAGGCAACGAUCCGUAGCUGGUUUGAGAGGACGACCAGCCACACUGGGACUGAGACACGGCCCAGACUCCUACGGGAGGCAGCAGUGGGGAAUUUUGGACAAUGGGGGAAACCCUGAUCCAGCCAUCCCGCGUGUAUGAUGAAGGCCUUCGGGUUGUAAAGUACUUUUGGCAGAGAAGAAAAGGUAUCCCCUAAUACGGGAUACUGCUGACGGUAUCUGCAGAAUAAGCACCGGCUAACUACGUGCCAGCAGCCGCGGUAAUACGUAGGGUGCAAGCGUUAAUCGGAAUUACUGGGCGUAAAGCGUGUGUAGGCGGUUCGGAAAGAAAGAUGUGAAAUCCCAGGGCUCAACCUUGGAACUGCAUUUUUAACUGCCGAGCUAGAG
rnacentral:rRNA from 1 species